rnacentral:rRNA from 1 species
GACGAACGCUGGCGGCGUGCUUAACACAUGCAAGUCGAACGGAAAGGCCCUGCUUUUGUGGGGUGCUCGAGUGGCGAACGGGUGAGUAACACGUGAGUAACCUGCCCUUGACUUUGGGAUAACUUCAGGAAACUGGGGCUAAUACCGGAUAGGAGCUCCUGCUGCAUGGUGGGGGUUGGAAAGUUUCGGCGGUCGGGGAUGGACUCGCGGCUUAUCAGCUUCUUGGUGGGGUAGUGGCUUACCCAGGCUUUGACGGGUAGCCGGCCUGAGAGGGUGACCGGCCACAUUGGGACUGAGAUACGGCCCAGACUCCUACGGGAGGCAGCAGUGGGGAAUAUUGCACAAUGGGCGGAAGCCUGAUGCAGCAACGCCGCGUGCGGGAUGACGGCCUUCGGGUUGUAAACCGCUUUCGCCUGUGACGAAGCGUGAGUGACGGUAAUGGGUAAAGAAGCACCGGCUAACUACGUG